rnacentral:tRNA from 1 species
AGUUAAUGAGCUUGGUAAAAGCAAAUGUUUUGAAAGCAUUAGAUAAAAUUUUUAAUUUUAUUAACUU